CUACGGGGCGCUGCAGUGGGGAAUAUUGCACAAUGGGGGAAACCCUGAUGCAGCAACGCCGCGUGAGUGAAGAAGGCUUUCGAGUCGUAAAGCUCUGUCCUAUGGGAAGAAUAGAUGACGGUACCAUAGGAGGAAGCCCCGGCUAACUACGUGCCAGCAGCCGCGGUAAUACGUAGGGGGCAAGCGUUAUCCGGAAUCAUUGGGCGUAAAGGGUGCGUAGGCGGCCAGACAAGUCAGAGGUGAAAGGCUACGGCUUAACCGUAGUAAGCCUUUGAAACUGUUUGGCUUGAGUGCAGGAGAGGAAAGUGGAAUUCCUAGUGUAGCGGUGAAAUGCGUAGAUAUUAGGGGGAACACCAGUGGCGAAGGCGACUUUCUGGACUGUAACUGACGCUGAGGCACGAAAGCGUGGGGAGCGAACAGGAUUAGAUACCCCCGUAGUC
rnacentral:rRNA from 1 species